rnacentral:lncRNA from 1 species
UUUUCCCGCCGUUUCUUCUGAUUUUCCCGCCGCUCCCCUCUGAUUUUCCCGCCAUUUCCUCUGAUUUUCCCGCCUUUAUCCCCUCUGAUUUUCCCGCCAUUCCCCUCUGAUUUUCCCGCCAUUCCCCUCUGAUUUUCCCGCCAUUCCCCUCUGAUUUUCCCGCCUUUAUCCCCUCUGAUUUUCCCGCCGUUUCCUCUGAUUUUCCCGCCUUUAUCCCCUCUUAUUUUCCCGCCAUUUCCCUCUGAUUUUCCCGCCUUUUUCCCCCCUCUGAUUUUCCUGCCAUUCCCCUCUGAUUUUCCCGCCGUUCCCCUCUUAUUUUCCCGCCAUUCCCCUCUGAUUUUCCCGCCAUUCCCCUCUGAUUUUCCCGCCGUUUCUUCUGAUUUUCCCGCCUUUUUCCCCUCUGAUUUUCCCGCCAUUCCCCUCUGAUUUUCCCGCCAUUCCCCUCUGAUUUUCCCGACUUUAUCCCCUCUGAUUUUCCCGCCAUUCCCCUCUGAUUUUCCCGCCGUUCCCCUCCUUUUUCCCGCCAUUCCCCUCUGAUUUUCCCGCCGUUUCCUCUCCCUUUUUCCCGCAGUUUUCCUACCGGGAUGGGGAAUUCCGGCCGCUCCCGCGGGUCCAGCUGAGCUUCCUGCGCCUCCUCAGCUCCUCCUCCCGCCAGAGCCUCGCCCUGCCCUGCCCCGCCAAUUCCCAAAAAAAACCCGGGAAUUCCCGGGAAAAAACCGGGAAUUCCCAAAAAUCCCCCCGGUCCCGGGAACCCGGGGAGGAGAAUCCCGGGAAUUCCCGGGGGUUCCUGAGGAUCCUGGCGGGGAACGAGGAGGAGCUGGGAUGGGAAGGAGCGAGGAUCGUGGAGGACGGAUGUGGGCCCCGGGGCGGCUCCGGGCGGCUCCUCCUGGAAUUCCGCUCCUCGCGCCCGGAGCUGCUCCCGAUCCUGGAUUUCCACCUGGAACCCACCGCAAUUCCCAAAAAUCCCCAAAAUUCGGGAAUCGAGCUGGGACCCGUCUGUUUCCUGGGAUAAAAAAAAACCCAAAUUCCCGCUUUUCCCCCCCAAAAAAUUCCCGCUUUUCCCAAAAAAAUUCCCGAUUUUUCUCCAUUUCCCCCCCAAAUUCCCGAUUUUCCCUCCCAAAUUCCCGAUUUUCCCCCGAAUUUCUCGAUUUUCCCUCCCAAAUUCCCGAUUUUUCCCUAUUUCCCCUCAAAUUUCCAAUUUUUUCCCCAUUUUUCCCCAAAUUCCCGGGAUUUCCCCCCAAAAAUUCUCGGUUUAUUCCCAUUUUCCUUCCCAAAUUCCCGAUUUUUUCCCCCAAAUUCCCGAUUUUUCCACUUUAUCUCCCCAAAAUUCCCAAUUUUUCCCCCAAAAUUCCCGAUUUUCCUCCCAAAUUCCCAAUUUUUCCCCCAAAUUCCCGAUUUUUUCCCCAUUUUCCUCCAAAUUCCCAAUUUUUCCCUCUAAAUUCCCGGUUUUUCCCCUUUAUCUCCCCCAAAAUUCCCAAUUUUCCCCCUAAAUUCCCGAUUUCUCACCCAAAAUUCCCGAUUUUCCCUGGAAAUUCCUGAUUUUUCCCCUUUAUUCCCCCCACAUUCCCGAUUUUUCCCCCCAAAUUCCCGAUUUCCCCUGGAAAUUCCCGAUUUUUCUCCAUUUCCCCCCCAAAUUCCCGAUUUUCCCCCCAAAUUCCCGGUUUUUCCCGCCGGGAAUUUGGGAAUUCCCGAUCCCGGGGGUUUUUUUUGGGGGGGGGAGGAAUUCCCGGGAAUUCCGGCUCCUCCCGACAUCCCCGGAUUGGAAAAUUCCCAAUAAAAAAUUUCUAUUUUCCUAUGGAAAGAAUUCC